GACGAACGCUGGCGGCGUGCUUAACACAUGCAAGUCGAACGAAGUGGCGAACGGGUGAGUAACGCGUAAUCAACCUGCCCUUCAGAGGGGGACAACAGUUGGAAAAGACUGCUAAUACCGCAUACUGAAGGAGGGGUUUGCGUCUGAUUAGCUAGGUGGCGGGGUAACGGCCCACCAAGGCGAUGAUAAGUAGCCGGUUUGGGAGGAGGAACGGCCACAGUGGGAGUGGGACCGGGGCCAGACCCCUACGGGGGGCAGCAGUUGGGAAUUUUCCGCAAUUGGCGAAAGCCUGACGGAGCAACGCCGCUGGAGAGAUGACGGCCUUCGGGUUGGAAAGCUCUGUUAAUCGGGACGCGGUACCUGAAUAGAAAGCCACGGCUAACUACGUGCCAGCAGCCGCGGUAAUAC
rnacentral:rRNA from 1 species